ensembl:lncRNA
CUUUUUCUGAGCCUUUGGCUGAUUUGCCAGCUCUUCCUUGAGCUGUCCAGUUUUAUCUUUUACUUGGGACUUUUGUUCUCCAUUUAACUUUUUGUGAGUUAACUUGUCUUUUUUUUUUGUUUUCCCCCCAGACAGAGCACUUAUAAAGCCAUCGACGAAGUCAGACUGUAAGCCUUCAGUAUGGUCCAUGUCUGAGAUUGAGAUAUCACUGGAGUGUCCUAAAGGACUGACUAAUUUUGAUCUAUUAACAAAGACAUCUAAACUUUCAGCAAGACUCUCCUGUCCAUCUGAAACCACAUCCUGUUCAUCAGAGGUCUGAUCUUCCAUAUCUGUUUCUCUAUUUCUGAAGGUUUCAGUCUCUUCACGAGGAUUACAAAACCUAAUGUUUGUAGCUAUUGGCCCUUCUACAAUGCCCUCCUUUGGCUCUUCAUCUGUGUCGAUGCAGGCUGGCAGUGCUGUUGGUCCACCUCCUGCUUCAUCGAGCUUAUCAUCUCCUCUGGGGUUAUGGGACUGGGAAAAAAACAUAAUAUCACCAGAGGGUGGCAGUAUCCUCAAUAAUUGACCUUGUGCUGAAGCUAAAGGAGUAAGAAAGCUUGCCAGUCCAUUCAGAAAACUCCAGAC